rnacentral:rRNA from 1 species
ACUCAAAUGAAUAGACGGGGACCCGCACAAGCGGUGGAGCAUGUGGUUUAAUUCGAUGCAACGCGAAGAACCUUACCUGGGCUUGACAUGCUUAAGAACCUUUCAGAGAUGAGAGGGUGCCCCUUCGGGGGAGCUUUUGCACAGGUGCUGCAUGGCUGUCGUCAGCUCGUGUCGUGAGAUGUUGGGUUAAGUCCCGCAACGAGCGCAACCCUUAUCCUUAGUUGCCAUCAUUAAGUUGGGGACUCUAGGGAGACUGCCGGCGUAAAAAGCCGGAGGAAGGUGGGGACGACGUCAAGUCAUCAUGGUCCUUAUGUCCAGGGCUACACACGUGCUACAAUGGUUGGUACAAAGAGCUGCAAGGUCGCAAGGCUGAGCUAAUCUCAUAAAGCCAAUCUCAGUUCGGAUUGAGGUCUGCAACUCGACCUCAUGAAGCUGGAAUCGCUAGUAAUCGUGCGUCAGCACAGCACGGUGAAUACGUUCCCGGGUCUUGUACACACCGCCCGU